AACGAACGCUGGCGGCAUGCCUAACACAUGCCAGUCGAACGAGACCUUCGGGUCUAGUGGCGCACGGGUGCGUAACGCGUGGGAACCUGCCCUUAGGUUCGGAAUAACUCCCCGAAAGGGGUGCUAAUACCGGAUAAUGUCUUCGGACCAAAGAUUUAUCGCCUUUGGAUGGGCCCGCGUUGGAUUAGCUAGUUGGUAGGGUAAAAGCCUACCAAGGCGACGAUCCAUAGCUGGUCUGAGAGGAUGAUCAGCCACACUGGGACUGAGACACGGCCCAGACCCCUACGGGAGGCAGCAGUGGGGAAUAUUGGACAAUGGGCGAAAGCCUGAUCCAGCAAUGCCGCGUGAGUGAUGAAGGCCUUAGGGUUGUAAAGCUCUUUUACCCGGGAUGAUAAUGACAGUACCGGGAGAAUAAGCUCCGGCUAACUCCGUG
rnacentral:rRNA from 1 species